AGCGAACGCUGGCGGCAGGCCUAACACAUGCAAGUCGAACGAACCCUUCGGGGUUAGUGGCGGACGGGUGAGUAACACGUGGGAACGUGCCUUUAGGUUCGGAAUAACUCAGGGAAACUUGUGCUAAUACCGAAUGUGCCCUUCGGGGGAAAGAUUUAUCGCCUUUAGAGCGGCCCGCGUCUGAUUAGCUAGUUGGUGAGGUAAUGGCUCACCAAGGCUACGAUCAGUAGCUGGUCUGAGAGGAUGACCAGCCACAUUGGGACUGAGACACGGACCAAACUCCUACGGGAGGCAGCAGUGGGGAAUCUUGCGGAAUGGGCGAAAGCCUGACGCAGCCAUGCCGCGUGGAUGAUGAAGGUCUUAGGAUUGUAAAAUCCUUUCACCGGUGAAGAUAAUGACUGUAGCCGGAGAAGAAGCCCCGGCUAACUUCGUGCCAGCAGCCGCCGCAGUAA
rnacentral:rRNA from 1 species